rnacentral:pre_miRNA from 1 species
GGUGUUGAUUGUCCAAACGCAAUUCUUGUGUUACUUCUCUAUAUCCAGGAGUUGUGGAUGGACAUCAUGCCCC